rnacentral:rRNA from 1 species
GACGAACCGUGCGAACGUUGUUCGGAAUCACUGGGCUUAAAGGGCGCGUAGGCGGGCUGCCAAGUCUGGGGUGAAAUCCCGCGGCUCAACCCGUGGAACUGCCUCAGAUACUGGCGGCCUCGAGGGAGGUAGGGGCGAGCGGGAACUGAUGGUGGAGCGGUGAAAUGCGUUGAUAUCAUCAGGAACUCCGGUGGCGAAGGCGGCUCGCUGGACCUCUUCUGACGCUGAGGCGCGAAAGCUAGGGGAGCAAACGGG